AUGCCAGGUGUACUAAGAGAACUCGCUGAGCACACUCUUAAUAUUGAGCCAAAGUUUAAGUCGGUCAAGCAGUUUCUUUGGCGGUUCAAUGAGGAGAGGUGGAAGGCCAUUGGUGCGGAGGUAGCCCGGCUCUUAGCAGCUGGGUUCAUCAUUGAAGUUUUUCAUCUAGAGUGGUUGGCUAACCCGGUGCUUGUGCUUAAGAAAAACGGCACUUGGCGUAUGUGUGUAGAUUACACGGAUUUAAACAAGGCUUGUCCAGCUGAUCCUUUUGCUCUCCCUCGUAUUGAUCAAAUCAUUGUUGCUACGACGGGUUGUGCGCGUUUGAGUUUUUUGGAUGCUUACUCCGGUUAUCAUCAGAUCAAGAUGGCGGUGAAGGACCAGGAGAAGACGGUGUUCAUUACUCCUUUUGGAGCCUUCUGCUAUGUAUCAAUGCCUUUUGGGCUCAAGAGUGCCCAGGUGACCUAUCAGCGAUGUGUGCAGAAUUGUCUUCAUAAUCAAAUUGGACGCAAUGUUCAUGCUUAUGUAGAUGACAUAGUGGUGAAAUCCAGAGAGAAGGAGACCUUGAUCGAUGAUCUCAAGGAAACCUUUGACAAUCUUCGGAUUUACAAGAUGAUGCUUGAUACGUCUCCAAUGUAUCUAUAA
rnacentral:rRNA from 1 species